ACAGGCCUUGAGUCUGUCCUGGUCUCUGGAAUCAUGGUGUCUAGUAGAGGCCAGCACACAGCAAAUAUAUAAAUGUACAAAUGAGUGAAUGAAGAGAAUCUGAUUGGCCUUAAGGAACUUACGCACUUAAAAUAAUUGGGCAGAAGAGAAGCAGUGAAGGAGUGCAGAGGCAUCACCUGAAAGGGAUCACUGAGAUUCUGAUGAACAGACCUUCUGCCCGCAAUGCCUUGGGGAAUGUCUUCGUCAGUGAGGUAAGAAAGGGCGGGCGCCAGGGUGGGCUGGGGAUGGGCUGGCACUAUCUAACUGGGUGUCCUCUGUAGCUGCUGGAAACUCUGGCCCAGCUGCGGGAGGACCGGCAAGUGCGUGUCCUGCUCUUCAGAAGUGGAGUGAAGGGCGUGUUCUGUGCAGGUGCAGACCUGAAGGAGCGGGAACAGAUGAGUGAAGCAGAGGUGGGGGUGUUUGUCCAGCGACUCCGGGGCCUGAUGAAUGACAUCGGAGGGACUCAGAGGCUGCCCCGUUGUCUGGGGGUGGCCCUGGCGA
rnacentral:sRNA from 1 species